rnacentral:rRNA from 1 species
UAUACAUGCAGUCGACGGUAAGUAGUGUAGCAAUACAUUACCUAGAGUGACGUACGGGUGCGUAACACGUAUGCAACCUACCCAAAACAGGCGGAUAGCUCGGGGAAACUCGAAUUAACCCGCCAUAAUAUAAUUGAAUGGCAUCAUUUGAUUAUUAAAACUCCGGUGGUUUUGGAUGGGCAUGCGUCUGAUUAGUUAGUUGGCGGGGUAACGGCCCACCAAGACGAUGAUCAGUAGGGGAACUGAGAGGUUGAUCCCCCACACUGGCACUGAGAUACGGGCCAGACUCCUACGGGAGGCAGCAGUAGGGAAUAUUGGUCAAUGGAUGCAAGUCUGAACCAGCCAUGCCGCGUGCAGGAAGAAGGCCUUCUGGGUUGUAAACUGCUUUUAUCGGGGGAUAAAAUGAGCGUGCGCGCUUAAUUGAAGGUACCCGGUGAAUAAGCCACGGCUAACUACGUGCCAGCAGCCGCGGUAAUACGUAGGUGGCAAGCGUUGUCCGGAUUUAUUGGGUUUAAAGGGUGCGUAGGCGGCCCUGUAAGUCAGUGGUGAAAUGCUCUAGCUUAACUAGAGAGGUGCCAAUGAUACUGCAGGGCUUGAGUACAGAUGAGGUAGGCGGAAUUGACGGUGUAGCGGUGAAAUGCAUAGAUAUCGUCAAGAACACCGAUAGCGAAGGCAGCUUACUGGGCUGUAACUGACGCUGAUGCACGAAAGUGUGGGGAUCAAACAGGAUUAGAUACCCUGGUAGUCCACACUGUAAACGUUGAUUACUCGCUGUUGCGAUACACAGCAGCGGCUUAGCGAAAGCGAUAAGUAAUCCACCUGGGGAGUACGCGCACGGUGAACCUCAAGAUG